CAGCCGUAAACAAUGUGCGUUAGGUGUGUCGGUAACCACGCGUUACUGAUGCGCCAAAGAGAAAUCGUGAAACGCACCACCUGGGAAGUACGGUCGCAAGGCUGAAACUUAAAGGAAUUGGCGGGGGAGCACCACAACAGGUGGAGCCUGCGGUUUAAUUGGAUUCAACGCCGGACAUCUCACCGGAUAAGACAGCUGAAUGAUUGUCAAUCUGAAGGUUUUACAUGACUAGCUGAGAGGUGGUGCAUGGCGUCAGUGACU
rnacentral:rRNA from 1 species